UACGGAGUGUGCAAGCGUUACUCGGAAUCACUGGGCAUAAAGGGCGUGUAGGCGGGCUUUCAAGUCGGUUGUGAAAUCCCUCAGCUCAACUGAGGAACUGCAUCCGAUACUGUUUGUCUUGAGGACGAGAGGGGAGAGUGGAACUUCUGGUGGAGCGGUGAAAUGCGUAGAUAUCAGAAGGAACGCCGGUGGCGAAAGCGACUCUCUGGCUCGUAUCUGACGCUGAAACGCGAAAGCUUGGGGAGCAAACAGG
rnacentral:rRNA from 1 species